UACAGAGGUCCCAAGCGUUGUUCGGAUUCAUUGGGCGUAAAGGGUGUGUAGGUGGCGCCGUAAGUCGGGUGUGAAAUUUCGGAGCUUAACUCCGAAACUGCAUUCGAUACUGGCGUGCUUGAGGACUGGAGAGGAGACUGGAAUUCAUGGUGUAGCAGUGAAAUGCGUAGAGAUCAUGAGGAAGACCAGUGGCGAAGGCGGGUCUCUGGACAGUUCCUGACACUGAGACACGAAGGCUAGGGGAGCAAACGGG
rnacentral:rRNA from 1 species